rnacentral:misc_RNA from 1 species
GGUCGUUACUGUUUACUACCAUUACUAGCACUUUAUCGAUUGCUUAGUAGAACCAAAAUCCAUGCUCUUUAUUUACUUUCUUUCCAUAGAUUUCUCCAUACACACUCAAGCAACCUGAUCCUUUCCACUCUACACGCAAAACCCAUAAAAUUAAAGAACGACCACAGCAGAAAUGAAGGCUGUCAUGUCACGCUUGCAGCUGCAUUCAAAGGCCUCAUUUCCCAGGCUCUGUUGGCUGGUUGUGUUGAAAAAUGGGAGAUCAUUGUCUAUAAGAUCUGAUCAAGUUGAUGGUGCAUCAAAAGUUGAGGAAGCAGAGACAGUAGAAUUGAAAACUCCUCCAACAGAGAAGCUACUUGUUUUGGGAGGAAAUGGUUUUGUUGGUUCACAUAUAUGCAGAGAAGCUUUAGGCCAUGGUUUGAUCGUAUCCAGUCUUAGUAGGUCUGGUAGAUCAUCUCUACAUGAUUCUUGGGCUGACAGCAUAGUCUGGCAUCAAGGAGAUUUGCUUUCACCUGAUUCCUUAAAGCAUGCACUAAAUGGAGUAACCUCCGUGGUAAACUUUGUAGAUCUCAUGUGUUGGAGGUUUUGGCUCAAAUUCUUAUAUGUACAAAAUCAAUGGAUCUGCAAAUAUAAAUGCUAUAAAAGCUGCCUCAGAGCAAGGUAUGUUACUAUUCUCUCACCAAUAUGCCUUUUUGUCUUUCUUUAGUCAUGCCCCAAUUAUUCAAGAUCAAAACAAUAGUUAGGCAUUAUCACAGAAUUAUCUUGUAACAUAUUUGGCAAUUUCUUGCUUGCAGUCUCAUACAGUGAUUAUAUUCUUAUUAUUUCUUCCUUUUAUGAUCAACAUUUUGGCAAUUUCUUUUCAAAAUUUACUGUAUUCUGAGUUAAUUUAGCAUGGAAUUCUCUUUCUUCCUAAACUGUUUGAUUGAAAUGAUUAAGCACCAGGUCGGAUGGCUUCCACACUUCCUGAAAACUGUUUCCAUUUUACUAUCUAAAGAGGAAUCAUGUUUGCUUGAAAACUGAGUUUUGGCAUUAUUUGAUGGAAGUCAAAUGUGUUAUGCGCAUUUUUCUUGUGUUUCCAGUUUUACACAUCUAUGGUUGUUAUUAUUUCUUUAUUUCCUUACUUGCCUCUCUGCAUGCUUGUCUUCAGGUGUAAAAAGAUUUGUCUAUAUAUCUGCUGCUGAUUUCGGUUUGAUAAAUUAUAUACUACGGGGAUAUUAUGAAGGAAAGGUAUAUUCUUGCUCACUAUGUAUUCAUUUACCCUUGCUCAAUUCCUGAUGGGAACAAUCAGCUUGGAGAUUUUCUGUUUUAAACUAAUGGUUCCAUUGUUAAUGUUGUAGCUACUGACGUCAUAUGUUAUUUGUUUAUAAUGCUCAGCUAUAUGACUCUUUUUGCUACCUUUAUUUAUUAGAAUUUCUCCUUGUCUACUUUGAUGCAGAGGUCAACUGAAACUGAACUAAUCAAUAACUUUCCAAAUGGAGGUGUUAUUCUUAGGCCUGGUUUCAUACAUGGGAACCGCCGUGUUGGAAAUAUGAAGUUACCUUUAAGUAUAAUUGGGGCUCCACUUGAGAUGGUACUCCAACAUGCCAAGCUACUGACCCGAAUCCCACUCAUCGGUCCUCUUUUUAUACCUCCAGUUCAUGUUAGUUCAGUGGCAAAGGUUGCUGUCAGAGCUGCAACAGAUCCAGCUUUCCCUCCAGGCAUUGUUGAUGUGUACAGUAUACUAAAGCAUAGCCGAUAAGCUCCAGUUUAAGCCUUAAUUAUUUAGUCUUUGUUUGAAAAUUUUGUUUUUGUUGCUUUUUGAUUUAUCAAAAGAAGCCUUAGAUAUCUCUGUCUAAUUAUGGAAAUAUCACUAUAUAUGUUGAUUGUGUUGAAAUGCAAGUAUGCAGCUCUAUGCUUGAAAGUUAUAGAAUUUCAUCCCAUUCCAAAAUAAGAUUGAUUUUAUUCUCUUCCUCUAUUUCCCUAAUUUUAUAUCUUAGGUGUAUAUACCCACCUAAAUAAUAAUUGACACGAAGCCAAUUAAAAAUUUGAAGACAU